rnacentral:tRNA from 1 species
GCCGGUGUGGCGGAAUUGGCAGACGCGAUGGAUUCAAAAUCCAUUGAGGGCAACCUCGUGUGGGUUCGAGUCCCACCACCGGUAC